AACGUACUGGUUGUCAUAGGUUACCCCAUUGGAGCCGCACACUUGCUCAUCUCCCUUAGUCACGUGGGUAGCACAGUCUACCAAUAGGAGCGCGAGACACAGCUCGUCAGUGUAGUGGAUGUCGAUGUUCACAAUUGCAGCGUCUACUUCUCCGCCGCUAGGAGGCGGGUGCGUAGGUUUGGUUUCAUGGGGCGCGUGGGUUGCAUGAGGUUCAUGCGUGGGCUUGGUUUCAUGGGGCGCGUGGGUUGCGUGAGGUUCAUGCGUAGGCUUGGUUUCAUGGGGCGCUUGGGUUGUGGCAGCAAACACCACGCC